rnacentral:rRNA from 1 species
AUUGAACGCUGGCGGCAGGCCUAACACAUGCAAGUCGAGCGGAUGAAGGGAGCUUGCUCCUGGAUUCAGCGGCGGACGGGUGAGUAAUGCCUAUGAAUCUGCCUGGUAGUGGGGGAUAACGUCCGGAAACGGGCGCUAAUACCGCAUACGUCCUGAGGGAGAAAGUGGGGGAUCUUCGGACCUCACGCUAUCAGAUGAGCCUAGGUCGGAUUAGCUAGUUGGUGGGGUAAAGGCCUACCAAGGCGACGAUCCGUAACUGGUCUGAGAGGAUGAUCAGUCACACUGGAACUGAGACACGGUCCAGACUCCUACGGGAGGCAGCAGUGGGGAAUAUUGGACAAUGGGCGAAAGCCUGAUCCAGCCAUGCCGCGUGUGUGAAGAAGGUCUUCGGAUUGUAAAGUACUUUAAGUUGGGAGGAAGGGAAGUAAGUUAAUACCUUGCUGUUUUGACGUUACCAACAGAAUAAGCACCGGCUAACUUCGUG